CUGUGGGUCAACACUGCCAUCAUGCGGAAAAUGUUUUGUACAUCCUCGCUCAUGCACACACUGCUUCUUCCUCAGUGCUGCUUUGAGCCGUUUUUGAAGGGCUAAGGCAAGUGUGCAGAAGAGGAGGCAGAAAGAUUCAAAGGACCAGAGGGCAUGGAUGACACCAAGAAGAUAGUAUUCUCCAGACAUCAGGGGACUGACACACAUAGGAACUCAGAGACUGGCAGCAUCCACAGGGUCUGCGCAGCAUGCACAGGGGCCCCCGAAAUGUCUUCAGACAAAAGGUUGUCAACAGUUUGACCCAGAAUACAAGAAAUGGAGGCGCACUAUAGGCUCAAAUGUGAGGACAGCCGGAACUGAAACCUAAGAUUUCAACUCAAGACCACAAGACAGUCAUCCACCAGGAGUAAGCACUGGAAGUAGAAUGCUGCUGGGAGAAGAAGAAGAAACUCAA